rnacentral:tRNA from 1 species
GUCCCUGUCGAUUAGUGGUUAAAUCAUCACGUUGUGGUCAAGUGCGAUUCCGUGAAGCCGGGAGCUCGAAUCUCCCCAGGGACA